rnacentral:lncRNA from 10 species
CUUUGCCCACUUUUUGAUGGGGUUGUUUGUUUUUUUCUUGUAAAUUUGUUUGAGUUCAUUGUAGAUUCUGGAUAUUAGCCCUUUGUCAGAUGAGUAGGUUGUGAAAAUUUUCUCCCAUUUUGUAGGUUGCCUGUUCACUCUGAUUGCAGUUUCUUUUGCUAAAGAAGCUCUUUAGUUUAAUUAGAUCCCAUUUGUCAAUUUUGGCUUUUGUUGUAAUUGCUUUUGGUGUUUUAGACAUGAUGUCCUUGCACAUGCCUAUGUCCUGAAUGGUAAUGCCUAGGUUUUCUUCUAGGGUUUUUAUGGUUUUAGGUGUAACGUUUAAGUCUUUAAUCCAUCUUGAAUUAAUUUUUGUAUAAGGUGUAAGGAAGGGAUCCAGUUUCAGUUUUCUACAUAUGGCUAGCCAGUUUUCCCAGCACCAUUUAUUAAAUAGGGAAUCCUUUCCAUAUUUCUUGCUUUUCUCAGGUUUGUCAAAGAUCAGAUAGUGGUAGAUAUGUGGCAUUAUUUCUGAGGACUCUGUUCUGUUCCAUUGAUGUAUAUCUCUGUUUUGGUACCAAUACCAUGCUGUUUUGGUUACUGUAGCCUUGUAGUAUAGUUUGAAGUCAGGUAGCAUGAUGCCUCCAGCUUUGUUCUUUUGGCUUAGGAUUGACUUGGCAAUGUGGGCUCUUUUUUGGUUCCAUAUGAACUUUAAAGUAGUUUUUCCCAAUUCUGUGAAGAAAGACAUUGGUAGCUUGAUGGGGAUGGCAAUGAAUGUAUAAAUGACCUUGGGCAGUUUGGCCAUUUUCACGAUAUUGAUUCUUCCUACCAAUGAGUAUGGAUUGUUCUUCCAUUUUUUUGUAUCCUCUUUUAUUUCAUUGAGCAGUGGUUUGUAGUUCUCCUUGAAGAGGUCCUUCACGUCCCUUGUAAGUUGGAUUCUUAGGUAUUUUAUUCUCUUUGAAGCAAUUGUGAAUGGGAGUUCACUCAUGAUUUGGCUCUCUGUUUGUCUGUUAUUGGUAUAUAAGAAUGCUUGUGAUUUUUGUACGUUGAUUUUUGUAUCUUGAGACUUUGCUGAAGUUGCUUAUCAGCUUAAGGAGAUUUUGGGCUGAGACAAUGGGGUUUUCUAGAUAUACAAUCAUGUCAUCUGCAAACAGGGACAAUUUGACUUCCUCGUUUCCUAAUUGAAUGCCCUUUUUUUCCUUCCCCUGCCUAAUUUCCCUGGCCAGAACUUCCAACACUAUGUUGAGUAGGAGUGGUGAGAGAGGGCAUCCCUGUCUUGUGCCAGUUUUCAAAGGGAAUGCUUCCAGUUUUUGCCUAUUUAGUAUAUUGGCUGUGGGUUUGUCAUAGAUAGCUCUUAUUAUUUUGAGAUACGUCCCAUCAAUACCUAAUUUAUUGAGAGUUUUUAGCAUGAAGAGGUGUUGAAUUUUGUCAAAGGCCUUUUCUGCAUCUAUUGAGAUAAUCAUGUGGUUUUUGUCUUGGUUCUGUUUAUUUAUUGAUUUUCGUAUACUGAACCAGCCUUGCAUCCCAGGGAUGAAACCCACUUGAUCAUGGUGGAUAAGUUUUAAUUGAUAGACCACUAGCAAGACUAAUAAAGAAGAAAAGAGAGAAGAAUCAAAUAGACGCAAUAAAAAAUGAUAAAGGAGAUAUCACCACCAAUCCCACAGGAAUACAAACUACCAUCAGAGAAUACUACAAACACCGCUAUGCAAAUAAACUAGAAAAUCUAGAAGAAAUGGAUAAAUUCCUCGACACAUACACCCUCCCAAGACUAAACCAGGAAGAAGUUGACUCUCUGAAUAGACCAAUAACAGGCUCUGAAAUUGUGGCAAUAAUCAAUAGCUUACCAACCAAAAAGAGUCCUGGACCAGAUGGUUUCACAGCCGAAUUCUACCAGAGGUACAGGGAGGAACUGGUACCAUUCCUUCUGAAACUAUUCCUAUCAAUAGAAAAAGAGAGAAUCCUUCCUAACUCAUUUUAUGGGGCCAGCAUCAUCUUGAUACCAAAGCCGGGCAAAGACACAACCAAAAAAUAGAAUUUUAGACCAAUAUCCUCGAUGAACAUUGAUGCAAAAAUCCUUAAUAAAACACUGGCAAACCGAAUCCAGCAGCACGUCGAAAACCUUCAGGUGCUCUUUUAAGGCUGGUUUGGUGGUGACAAAGUUUCUCAGUAUUUGUUUGUCUUUGAAAGAUUUUAUUUCUCCUUCCCUUAUGAAGCUUAGUUUGUUUGGAUGUGAAAUUUUGGUUUGGAAACGAUUUUCUUUAAGAAAGUUGAAUGUUUGCCCCCACUGUCUUUAGGCUUGUAGGGUUUCUGCAGAUUAAUCCAUUAUUGGUCUGUUCGGCUUCCCUUUGUAGGUAACCUGACCUUUCUUUUUGGCUGCUGUUAACAUUUUUUCCUUCAUUUCAAUAUUGGAGAAUCUGGCGAUUAGGUGUCUUGGGGUUGCUCUUCUUGAGGAGUAUCUUAAUGGUGUUUUCUGUAUUUCCUGAAUUUGAAUGUUGGCCUGUCUUGCUAGGUUGGGGAAUUUUCCUGGAUAAUAUCCUGAAGUGUGCUGUCUAACUUGAUUCCAUUCUCCCCAUCACCCUCAGGGACCCCAGUCGAUCGUAGGUUUGUUAUUUUCACAUAGUCCCAUAUUUCUUGGAGGCUUUGUUUUUUUUUCCUUUUCACUCUUUUUUUUUUCUAAUCUUGUAAUCUUGCCUUAUUUCAGUAAGGUGAUUUUCAAUCUCUGAUAUCCUUUCUUCCACUUGAUCUAUUUGGCUAUUGUUACUUUUGUAUGCUUCACGAAGUUCUCAUGCUUUUUUUCAGCUCCAUCAUGUCAUUUAUAUUCCUCUCUAAGUUGGUUAUUUAAGUUAGCAUUUCCUGUAACCUUUUAUCAAGGUUUUUAGGUUCCUUGCCUUGGGUUAGAACAUGCUCAUUUAGCUCAGAGGAGUUUGUUAUUACCUACAUACUGAAGCCUACUUCUGUCAAUUUGUCAAUCUCAUUCUCUAUCCAGUUUUGUGCCCUUGCUGGAGAGGAGUUGCAAUCUUUUGGAGAAGAGGCUUUCUGGUUUUUGGAAUUUUCAGUGCUUUUGUGCUGUUUUUUUUCCUCAUCUUCAUGUAUUUAUUUACCUUUGAUCUUUAAAGCUGAUAACCUUGGAUGGGGUUUUUGUGUGGGGUUCUUUAUGUUGAUGUCGAUGUUGUUGCUUUCUGUUUAUUAGUUUUUCUUCUAACAGUCAGGCCUCUCUUCUGCAGGUCUGCUGCGGUUGCUGGACGUCCAAUCCAGACCCUGUUCUCCUGGGUAUCACCAGUGGAGGCUGUAGAACAGCAAAUAUUGCUGCCUGCUCCUUCCUCUGGAAGCUUUGUCCCAGAGGGGCACCAACCUGAUGCCAGCUGGAGCUGUCUUGUAUGAAGUGUCCUUCGACCCCUGUUGGGAGGUCUCUCCCAGUCGGAUGCACAAGGUGUCUUCAGUGCCCUGGGUUUGCCUGUGACCCAAUGCCCACUGGGACUGAAUGCCAAAGGACUCCCUUUAGGCAUCCAGGUUGUGGCUGGACCCUUUAAUGAUCAUCUGACCCUGGCUGUGGCCCAGUACUUGGAGAAAACUUUUGGGGGCUGGGUCUGUCCAGGAAAGUUUUAGGAGGACCUUCUGCAAGGUUAAUGUGUGUGUGUGUUUGUGUUCGUGUGGUGGUGUUUCUAUUAAUUGGGUGAAAUCAAGCACCAGCAGACAAGCAGAGAAACAACUGGGGAAUUUAUUGACUCAUUUAGUUAUUCUUUCUACUUUUAUUUCCUUCUCUAACUGUUGGUCUUACUAAAAUGGUAAUAUUUGCUUCUUGCUUUUAUGUUACUGGAAAAUUAGGACAUGUAAAUGGAUAAGUGCAAUAAAGUUUCCUAAAUGCUGGAA